AACGAACGCUGGCGGCAGGCUUAACACAUGCAAGUCGAGCGCCCCGCAAGGGGAGCGGCAGACGGGUGAGUAACGCGUGGGAAUCUACCCAUCUCUACGGAACAACUCCGGGAAACUGGAGCUAAUACCGUAUACGCCCUUCGGGAGAAAGAUUUAUCGGAGAUGGAUGAGCCCGCGUUGGAUUAGCUAGUUGGUGGGGUAAUGGCCUACCAAGGCGACGAUCCAUAGCUGGUCUGAGAGGAUGAUCAGCCACACUGGGACUGAGACACGGCCCAGACUCCUAAGGGAGGCAGCAGUGGGGAAUAUUGGACAAUGGGCGAAAGCCUGAUCCAGCCAUGCCGCGUGAGUGAUGAAGGCCCUAGGGUUGUAAAGCUCUUUCACCGGUGAAGAUAAUGACGGUAACCGGAGAAGAAGCCCCGGCUAACUUCGUGCCAGCCGCCGCAGUAAAAC
rnacentral:rRNA from 1 species